CUUGUGCUACAGGAAACUAUGACUUUGUAAACAUAGCUUUUCUUCCCACUUUUGGCAAUGGCCAGACUCCUGUGAUCAAUCUUGCUGGUCACUGCGAUCCCUACAGUAAUGGUUGCACAGGAUUGAGUUCUGAUAUUAAGUCCUGUCAAGCCAAAGGCAUUAAAGUGAUGCUUUCUAUUGGUGGAGGAGCUGGGAGUUAUUAUCUUGCAUCUACUGAGGAUGCCAAGCAGGUUGCUACUUACCUUUGGAAUAACUUCUUGGGGGGACAUUCAUCGUCUCGCCCACUCGGACCAGCUGUUCUAGAUGGAAUUGAUUUUGACAUUGAAGGAGGAACGAACCUACACUGGGAUGAUCUUGCAAGGUUCCUGUCAGCAUAU
rnacentral:lncRNA from 1 species